GACAGGUAAGAUAGUACCAACCCACACCCCACCGCAGUCUAACAGCAAGCAGGACAGUGACACGCUCAGGCCAGGACAGCAGUGACCGCUCCAUCAGGACGACGGGACACAGACAGCCUCGCCAGAAACACACAGUGAUGGGACCAGACCACGGCACAAUCCUGGCCUCACUUCUCUUGACCACUCAGCUGGAAGGAAGAGCUGCCAACGCUCUACAGGACAGCCAGACACACAUGACAAUGAGACCAGAUCAUGGCACACUCCUGGCUGCUCUCCCCUUGAGAACUCAGCUGGAAGGAAGAACUGCCAAUGCUCUACAGGACAGAUAAGACAGCCCCAACCCAUUCCCCACCAUGGUCUCACACCAUACCAGAAGACGACACGGUUGGGUUAUGAUGGCCAUCUCCUGGCCGCCAGGGAGACCUCAGAGCAGAGCAAGCCACUGAAGGAGAAGAAAGCACACAAGGACCCCGUCUCUACCCUGCCAUGGUCCUACAAGCACACCAACGGGCCCCGCGCCUUUGGACAUUGAGAGCUCAGCACGCCUCCCCGCCAACUCACCCCACCCCACGUCUCUCUCAAACGUUGCUUAAAUAAAGGUUCUGAUUCACAACCUCA
rnacentral:lncRNA from 1 species